rnacentral:tRNA from 1 species
CAAAAUGUAGCUUAACUAAAGCCUUUCGCUUACACCGAAAAAAUAUAUGUGAAACCCAGAUCAUUUUGA